rnacentral:rRNA from 1 species
UACGAGGGGGGCAAGUGUUGUUCGGAAUUACUGGGCGUAAAGGGCGCGUAGGCGGGCUCUUAAGUUGGAUGUUUAAAACCGGGGCCUAACCCCGGCGUGGCAUCCAAAACUGGGAGUCUUGAAUGGGACAGAGGCCAGUGGAAUUAGAGGUGUAGCGGUGGAAUGCGUAGAUAUCUCUAAGAACACCAGUUGCGAAGGCGGCUGGCUGGGUCCACAUUGACGCUGAGGCUCGAAAGCGUGGGUAGCAAACAGG